rnacentral:rRNA from 1 species
UACGGAGGGUGCAAGCGUUAUCCGGAUUCACUGGGUUUAAAGGGUGCGUAGGCGGGCAGGUAAGUCAGUGGUGAAAUCUCCGAGCUUAAUUCGGAAACUGCCAUUGAUACUAUUUGUCUUGAAUAUUGUGGAGGUAAGCGGAAUAUGUCAUGUAGCGGUGAAAUGCUUAGAUAUGACAUAGAACACCAAUUGCGAAGGCAGCUUACUACACAAUGAUUGACGCUGAGGCACGAAAGCGUGGGGAUCAAACAGG